rnacentral:rRNA from 1 species
CCUACGGGGUGCAGCAGUGGGGAAUAUUGGGCAAUGGGCGCAAGCCUGACCCAGCAAUGCCGCGUGAAGGAAGAAGGCUUUCGGGUUGUAAACUUCUUUGACAGGGGAAGAGCAGAAGACGGUACCCUGAAAACAAGCCACGGCUAACUACGUUCCAGCAGCCGCGGUAAUACGUAGGUGGCAAGCGUUGUCCGGAUUUACUGGGUGUAAAGGGCGUGUAGCCGGGAAGGCAAGUCAGAUGUGAAAUCUGGAGGCUCAACCUCCAAAUUGCAUUUGAAACUGUUUUUCUUGAGUACUGGAGAGGCAGACGGAAUUCCUUGUGUAGCGGUGAAAUGCGUAGAUAUAAGGAGGAACACCAGUGGCGAAGGCAGCUUACUGGACUGUAACUGACGUUGAGGCUCGAAAGCGUGGGGAGCAAACAGGAUUAGAUACCCCUGUAGUC